GUCACAAUUUGUUACUUUUGGCAGUUUACUUUGGUCACCAGAUAGCACGAAAGGGUUGCUUUACGGCUAUUGCUUUGUCACAAAGAGUAUUUAUCCAUUGUUCCACCCCUGGUGGUUCCUUUUUCCCAAAGUGAGGGUAUUAGGGACUUAGCUGUUCCUACUGAUAUCCAGAAUAAUGUCUGUCUGUAUCUAUCUUGGAAGGUGUAGCUGUAAUGUUGACAUUAAAUAUUUUACUAAACAAUUUUAGUAUU